rnacentral:rRNA from 1 species
GCAAGCGUUGUUCGGAUCUACUGGGCGUAAAGGGCGCGUAGGCGGUCAGCACAAGUCAGUUGUGAAAUCUCCGGGCUUAACUCGGAAAGGUCAACUGAUACUGUGCGACUAGAGUGCGGAAGGGGCAACUGGAAUUCUCGGUGUAGCGGUGAAAUGCGUAGAUAUCGAGAGGAACACCUGCGGCGAAGGCGGGUUGCUGGGCCGACACUGACGCUGAUGCGCGAAAGCCAGGGGAGCGAACAGG